GAUGAACGCUGGCGGCGUGCUUAACACAUGCAAGUCGAACGGAAAGGCCCAAGCUUGCUUGGGUACUCGAGUGGCGAACGGGUGAGUAACACGUGGGUGAUCUGCCCUGCACUUCGGGAUAAGCCUGGGAAACUGGGUCUAAUACCGGAUAGGACGAUGGUUUGGAUGCCAUUGUGGAAAGUUUUUUCGGUGUGGGAUGAGCUCGCGGCCUAUCAGCUUGUUGGUGGGGUAAUGGCCUACCAAGGCGUCGACGGGUAGCCGGCCUCAGAGGGUGUACGGCCACAUUGGGACUGAGAUACGGCCCAGACUCCUACGGGAGGCAGCAGUGGGGAAUAUUGCACAAUGGGCGCAAGCCUGAUGCAGCGACGCCGCGUGGGGGAUGACGGCCUUCGGGUUGGAAACUCCUUUCGCUAGGGACGAAGCGUUUUGUGACGGUACCUGGAGAAGAAGCACCGGCUAACUACGUG
rnacentral:rRNA from 1 species